rnacentral:rRNA from 1 species
UACGUAGGGCGCAAGCGUUGUCCGGAAUUAUUGGGCGUAAAGAGCUCGUAGGCGGUUUGUCGCGUCUGCUGUGAAAACCUAAGGCUCAACCUUGGGCUUGCAGUGGGUACGGGCAGCCUAGAGUGCGGUAGGGGUGACUGGAAUUCCUGGUGUAGCGGUGGAAUGCGCAGAUAUCAGGAGGAACACCGAUGGCGAAGGCAGGUCACUGGGCCGCAACUGACGCUGAGGAGCGAAAGCAUGGGGAGCGAACAGG